rnacentral:rRNA from 1 species
GGCUUAGAGUUUGAUCAUGGCUCAGGACGAACGCUGGCGGCGUGCCUAACACAUGCAAGUCGAACGGAGCGAUUGGUUUCGAUUGAUCGCUUAGUGGCGAACGGGUGAGUAACGCGUGAGGAACCUGCCUUUCAGUGGGGGACAACAGUUGGAAACGACUGCUAAUACCGCAUGACGCUCUUGGGGGGCAUCCCCUGGGAGUCAAAGAUUUAUUGCUGAAAGAUGGCCUCGCGUCUGAUUAGCUAGUUGGUGGGGUAACGGCCUACCAAGGCGACGAUCAGUAGCCGGUCUGAGAGGAUGAACGGCCACAUUGGGACUGAGAUACGGCCCAGACUCCUACGGGAGGCAGCAGUGGGGAAUAUUGGGCAAUGGGGGAGACCCUGACCCAGCAACGCCGCGUGAAGGAAGAAGGCCCUCGGGUUGUAAACUUCUUUUACCAGGGACGAAGGACGUGACGGUACCUGGAGAAAAAGCAACGGCUAACUACGUGCCAGCAGCCGCGGUAAUACGUAGGUUGCAAGCGUUGUCCGGAAUUACUGGGUGUAAAGGGCGUGUAGGCGGAGGAGCAAGUCACAUGUGAAAUCCCGGGGCUCAACCUCGGAACUGCAUUUGAAACUGUUCCCCUUGAGUAUCGGAGAGGCAAGCG